ensembl:lncRNA
AUGUUCAGAACCACGGUCCCCCGGCACUUCCAAGCACCUGUGGGCUGCAGGUGGAGCCCCAGGAGCCAAAGGGCCGCUCAGCAAAGGGUGGAACUUGGCCUCGCAGUCAGCUGGCUUCUGCCUAUUAUGGUCAUCUUCUUUCCAGAGGUCUUGCUAUCUCAGUGGACGUGGAGGUCAUCCAGCUGUCCUGGGCUGUUUUCUCAUAGAAGAGGAGCUCCCUCUGAAAACUGUGUCAUUCUUAAUUCCUGGGCCAAGUCUUGGGACACAUCUUUUCUUAACGCUUGCGGGUAUGACAAGUGCAGUUCCCAUUUUCCUGCACUUUACGAAGUCUCUAAGGUGCAGGCAGUAGACAUCCUUCUCCAUGGACUCCCCCUGAGGCUCCUUCACAUGUUUUCAGGACAGUUCAGGCAGAGCGGAAAGCAUCGGCUGCAGCUUCCGGACGUCCCUUGCACCCUGCAGAGAGACCUGCUCACUGAGCAGACCUUGGACUUGUGCUAGGGACUUGCCGCCUCGAUGCUGGGGGACCACCCUGUUCUGCUUCCCUGUUGCCCUCCACUUCCAAGUCCUCAUUUUCCGUGUCGUCCGUCUUUCCUGGUGCAGAUGAAGGGUACUCAGCAGAGCAUGGGCCAGGGAAGUCACUCGCCUACUCCCGUUCGAAUAUUCGGGACUUGAGGCCUUCUUGUCUUUUUUUUUUUUUUUUUUUUUGUGGCGUCUGAUUCACAACUUCUUGGUCAGGCAGCUCUGCGGGUUGCUGAUGGUCCGUGCUGUCAUUCACAUCGUCCGUGGUGUGCACCGGAAGAUCUCCAUGCUGUGAAGCGUGCGGGAUGCGCUUCACAUCAGUCACUUGGGAAGUUCAGGAGACUGCUUUUUCAUGCUUUUUUCAGAAGCUCACCUUGGUUAAGUCGUGAUCGGAAGACCUGCUCAUUUCCAUUAGAACCUUCAAGCAGAGUGUUUGGAGCAAUCAAGGACUGGCCUGAGCAUGGAUAACAGGUAGCUACCACUGGUGUGGGCUGCUGGUUGCAUCUUGGCGCCGCCCUUUCUGUGGACCUCACCUUAGAGGGAAGCCCUUAGGGCCAGCCCUUCCCUCCUUCUCACUGCGUGUCGUCUCCUGACCAGAGAGGCCAUCAAAGCGGUGCACGCCCGGCUCACUCAGAGUAUCCCUAGGGUCGCUGGCACUGGUCCCAGGAUUCUGUACAUCACUAAUUACCGCUGCCCACAGGUGGACCAGCAGCAGUUGAGGAGGCAUUUCGCUGUGAGCAGCAGGCCCUCCGUGGCUCUCGAGGGCUCCACACCUCUGCCUCCAUUCUCCACUGGCAUGUGGGCCACAACUGACCACUCAGAGUCCUGCAGAGUGUUCCACCUCUAACACGAGGGCCCGCCAACCAGGAUAAACCAUCCAUUCUGCUGGGGGAGGAAAGGCACCGCAUGUUCUAGAAAACUGUGUCCCUGAUUUUGCUGUGCAAAUAGAAAGUGACAUUACUUAAUGCAGUGCCUUAGAAGAGUGGAAAGAGUUCACAGCAGCCCCCAGCUCAGGCCACUCCAGGUCCUACCUGGCCUUACAGCAUAGCUAGAGGGUCAAAGCCGGUCAUGCCACAGCCCCGUGUCCAGGCACGAUCCUCUCAGGGCAGUGUGAUGGCCUAUGCCUGGUGGGGCUCAUUACCCUGAUUUCAGGUUUCCUUCUGCUGCAGGGAAGCCUGGUCCCGCCUACAAAGAGGCUGUCUACCUUGCUAGAUUGAACUGUGGGACUAUGUUUUCUUCAUCUCUGUAACCCCAGUAGCUCGCCAGAGACCCUUAUACACUAGGGGCUCAGUCACUGCUUGUCUUGUUUUCUUGUUGACUCUACUCUGACUUAGGGCAUGUUGCUUUCCCCUCUUGAUCUCCAUGUUCAGAUUUGUGAAUAAGAGUUAAGUGGGUGAAGGCCCCUCUAGCUUUAAAGCCCCUCCACACAGAGAGAACACUGAAACCGGAAGCAGAAGCUGAGUGUGGUGAGUGGAGCAUUUUCCCCUGGAUGAUGGAGGGGACCUAUGGAUCUGGCUGUGAGGGUGGCAUCUGGCCACUUGAAUGACUCUGCAGAACUGGACCCUAGUUUUCAAAUCAGAUUCAAGAAUGAUCUUUAGUGUGGGUGGUUUUGUGGGGUAUGUAUUUUUUUAGACUUCGCUAUUGACACAACAGCUUCUGGAAGUCUUUUUGACAGAGUAUGCGCAGGUGCAGGCUCCAUCUGCUCCGCAGCCGCUGUCUGGUGACGGUGAGGGCUGAGAGCUGGACGGUCCUGUUAGAAAGGCAGAGUGCCAGCCUCUGGCAAUGAGCAGAGUGACCCAACCUCGUCUCUCCUUCCCCGUGGAGCACUGCGAGCUCUUCCCCAGACCGGCUUCUAGGCUUCCCUUCACCCUCUCCCACCAGGCGGCUGUGGCCACUCUAGGAUUCCAUUUUUAGUUGUACUUUUUUUUUUUAAUUGAUCAUUUUGUGAGCAUUUUUCUCUGUAAUGCAACAGAAAUAGCACAAGUCCUUAAAAAUGUGGGAUCUCUCAGCUCCCACAAAAACAAACAUGAUGGCCUAUGUAAUUCGCUACAUAUUUAAAUUGCUAGCUCUAAAAAUAGAUUCGGAGAAAGGGUGGACACAUGUUCCACUUUUCUCAUAACAGUCCUGGGUUAUGCCUGUUAUCCUGGCAUAGUUAUUAAUCCUGUCCCCUUUCACUCUUAGACGGUCCUGGUUUGGAGGAUAAAUUUGAUUUCAUUCUAUGCAAAGAGGAAAUCUACAAAGGUGACAUCAUCUAACCUGUAUUCAUAUAAACAGAUUUUCCAGUCUUAGGUUCUGCGUACCUCUCCAAACCCCACAAUUUUCUAAUCAUUUUAUGUAUUAUUUAUAGGAAAAGAGCACCAGCUAAAAUAUCUUGCCCCUUGGAUUUCUUCAGCCAGCUGCUGAAGGAAUUUAUCUUAGUCUUUACUGAAGACUGAAUUGUAUCAGUAAGACUUUCUUCUAAGUCCUGUUGUUUUGACUUUUUGACUUACUCUGUGCCCUCUGAUACACAAAGUAGCAAUAAUUUCUACAAUGAACCAUUGUAUUUGUUCAGGAGAAAUUCUUCCUUUUCCUCACAUUUCUAUUCAGUUUCCUCAAGGUAUGUAUUUGAAAACUUGAAAAAUUGCCUGGCACGGUUAUAGUUUAAUGGGAGCAUUUAAACAUACUUUUCCUACAAAGCUUAUCAGUUAGUUACUUAACCUUUAUGAAUAGGUUAAAUAUUUUCCACGGUAUUUAUAUAAAUAUGAUACUUGGUUUCAAGUUAAACCUAAUAAAAAGGAAGUUAUUCUUGACUUAAAUUACUCCCCUUUCUUUUCAUUUGUUUUUAUUUUCCUCUUUUUUAUGACCACUUGACUAAGAAAUUCACAAGGCAGAUGUGGAAACGUUGCUUUAUAAAUACAAGAUUCAGCCAGUCCCUGUUGUUGUCCCUGUUUUAAGAAAAGAAAAGGUAACUAUUCCUCCUGGAUGUAUGCUUUGGCCAUGAAAGUAAGGUUUAAAAUCAAGUCAAAGGGCUGUGUCGAGUUUAGAAAAAAAAAAAAAAAAAACCUCUAAAUGAAACGAUCUCCGUGCUGAAUUCAGAGUGAUGGUGCAGAGGCUUGUGUGAUGCACAGAAAGCAUCCCAGUGUUCUUGAAUCCCAACAAAACUUUCCUUGUUCUGGCAUCUCCCAAAGGCUCCAAGCACACAUAGGCUGCGCACUCUCUGCCAAUGGGGAAACACUCUGCUAAGUGCUUUAUUCAUUCCCAGAUGCUCUGUUUAUUCAUUUUUCAACAAAAAGUGGCACAUUGAAUAUGUAUUCCUGGAAAUCACCUGAAAUCUAUUCAUUAGGCUUUAGCGAGUCUCUCGUACACCUAACUCCACAUCCCAGGAGCCGACCCCAGUAAACCCAAGUCUCCCAUCAGCUCCACAAUCCAGUGCCUUAGGAUACAGCAGCCAGACCAGAAAAAUACCUUUAGGCCAAGUCUGCAUGGUUUUAAGAAAUUAGCUAGCCCUACACAUCACCUUUGACUCAGUAAAGCAGUCCCCUGUCUAUGACACCACCCAAAUUAUUGCCCUAGUCUAGAGCCUUACGCCUCUGCUUUCUAUUUUGGUGAAUUCAGAACAGAAGAUUUAACCAGCAUAAGACUGACAUAAUCUUGUGAUCUGGGACAGCCCCUGAUAGUAGGCAGGUGGUUGGGCAAAGCUUUAGUACCAAGGAGUUACUAGUUGGCAGCCUGAAGCUGAAUCAUCUCACGACACCCUUGAGACAGUGUGACAUUCAGAGUAAAGACCACAGUAAAGACCACAACAGCUCAAGUGCCACACUGCACCCAGCACAUUCUAUUUUUAAAAGAAAGAGUCAAAAUACCGUUCUAUCCAACAAUCCCAUUACUAGGUAUAUAGCCAAAAGAAAAUAAA